rnacentral:lncRNA from 1 species
AAUAUGUUAUCACCGGACGUAGGUUUAUCUUAAAGGAUGAUAUGCUUAAUUUGGUUCGUGGUGAAGCCGUUAAGUAACGUUUUUCCAUAGUUAAUUGAGAGGAUACAUGUUUUAAUGGAAUAAUGUUUUUUAUUGUUUGGAUUAUGAAAGAGGUGGUCAAUAGAAAUAAAUAGUGAGAUGACACCGAAACAGAAAAAUGUAGAUGUCUAUUAUGAUUAUUGGUUACCAUAUGUCUUCAAAUGUUUGAAACUUUUUAA